GACGAACUUACAAUGUAUGCUGGACGUGCAAAAAGAACAGCACUGCAAUUUUAAGGAAUGCUGGCUGUGAGAUUGAGCAUCAGUCUGAGAAGAAAAGGAGACAUCAUAGGGGUAAAUGGAAGCAUUGACGAGGUGGCGGGAGAGGAGCAGGAAGAGGAGGUGGCCAA